rnacentral:rRNA from 1 species
UGGGGAAUAUUGCGCAAUGGGCGAAAGCCUGACGCAGCGACGCCGCGUGAGGGAUGAAGGUCUUCGGAUCGUAAACCUCUGUCAGAAGGGAAGAAACUAGGGUGCUCUAAUCAUCAUCCUACUGACGGUACCUUCAAAGGAAGCACCGGCUAACUCCGUGCCAGCAGCCGCGGUAAUACGGAGGGUGCAAGCGUUAAUCGGAAUCACUGGGCGUAAAGCGCACGUAGGCUGUUAUGUAAGUCAGGGGUGAAAUCCCACGGCUCAACCGUGGAACUGCCCUUGAUACUGCACGACUUGAAUCCGGGAGAGGGUGGCGGAAUUCCAGGUGUAGGAGUGAAAUCCGUAGAUAUCUGGAGGAACAUCAGUGGCGAAGGCGGCCACCUGGACCGGUAUUGACGCUGAGG